UACGGGGGGGGCAAGCGUUGUUCGGAAUUACUGGGCGUAAAGGGCUCGUAGGCGGCCAACUAAGUCGGAUGUGAAAUCCCCAAGCUUAACUUGGGAACUGCAUCCGAUACUGGAUGGCUUGAAUCCGGGAGAGGGAUGCAGAAUUCCAGGUGUAGCGGUGAAAUGCGUAGAUAUCUGGAGGAAUACCGGUGGCGAAGGCGGCAUCCUGGACCGGCAUUGACGCUGAGGAGCGAAAGCUUGGGGAGCAAACGGG
rnacentral:rRNA from 1 species